rnacentral:lncRNA from 1 species
CGGCUCAAACAAUAAUCUUUGCCCUUUAUAGUUAAACUAGAAUAGUUUAACAUGUGAAAUGUCCGUAAAGUAUCAUCAUAUGAUUGGUUUUAGGGCACAUUUCCAACAAUCUCCCACUUGCACUAGAGCCAAUAAGCUUAGUCAUCAAUGAUGAUACCUCUUCUGUAGUCAUUUCAUAAAUGGCUGAAUAGUAGGCCUAGACAAUGGAUAUCUAUAUGUUAUCCAUAGAAGCAACCUUGAGAAUAACGACGUCACCAUUAUACAUGAUUCUCAACCAUGUGGUUCAGUCUCUCAUAUGAGUUCGGAUCUUGAUGAGACCUUGAUUCCCAGGCUUGAGCUAUCGCCCCAUUAGUGUCAUAGUGUCAGUACACUAGAGACAUUUUCUGGUUGGAACCGAAUAGAGAGUUCAUAAAUGAACUUUCCCAUCCAAACAACAUUGUUGUAAGCUUCUAUAUGGCAAUAUAUUUUGCAUUCAUAAUGGAACACACUAAAGUCAUUACUUUUAAUGUUUCCAUCCAAAUAUCUCUUUAGUCAUAACAAAGAGAUAUCUGUUUAUCUCUUCAUUCAUAAUGAAGAAAUAUCCAAUGAUGGAUUAGAUUCAUAAUCUAAUACAUUUACGCUUCCAUUACGUUACUCUAAUUCUUCCUCGAUCUUUGAGGAAUUUAUCCUUUAGUAUUUCUUAAAUACUUAAGGACUCACUUGACAGUUGCCAUGGUUCUGAUCCUGGGCUUACACUGAUAUCGUCUUGUACCGUUCUAGGUACAACUCAUAUCAAUGUUUUUCAUACAAUACGAAAUACAUAAAUCCCCUUUAUUUACGCAUAAAGGAUUCUAUUUACGCAUUAUUUCCUUGGGAGUCAAAGAGUACGUUCUCUUUGAGAAGAGCAACUUCUUAGUCUCACUAGAGUUGUCCUUUUGAUUUGAAGUUCAUCAUCAUAUGAGAAACUUCCUAUCAUCUUUUGUCUAUAUUUAGGGCUUGAUAUAAUCCAAUUAUAUCCUAAAAUCUAUCAAUAUAGAUUUCCAUCCCAUGUAUAUAGAUUAUAUCUCCCAUAUACAUUCUAUCUUCAUAUAAUGUUUUAAAGUCAUAACUUUAAAGAAGAAGUAUUCUUUUCAUUUCCAAAAUCAAUAUAUCAUAUAUAUUUAAAUUUUAGGAACAUGAUUAACUCCCAUAAACAUUCUAUCUUCAUAUAAUGUUUUAAAGUCAUAACUUUAACGAAGAAGAAUUCUUUUCAUUUCCAAAAUUAAUAUAUCAUAUAUUUAAAUUUUAGGAACAUGAUUAACUCCCACUAAUCUUUUGUAAACCUAGUAAACAAAAGAUUCAUUUACAUCUUCAUGAGAAAUCAAACGAUUUGAUCUUUCUCUCAUAAGAUGCAUAUAGCUCCCACUAGCUUGCUAAGAUUCAUGAUGGAUGGAUCUCUACAACUUACAUGUCUUGUGAUUCAUAGUUUUAGACAUAUAUUAUUAAGACUAUCUUAAUAAUGGUUUCGGAAACCCAUAUUAUGUCCAAACAUUGAAUCACCAUUUAGUUGCAGCUAGCUAUCUUCGAAUUAAUUGAAACCAAGACUACGUCAAAGAUGGUUUCUUCAAAGUCAACCACCUUUCGAUUGUAGUUACCUUAAGCUACCAAUUAGCUUAUGAAGGUUUCAUUAUUUCGGAUCAAAUGGUCCUUUACCAUUUCCUUGGGUAUAUAUCAUAUAUACACUCAAUGUAGUCAUAAGGAUUUUCAUUCUUAUUUCUUUCAAAUUAAGAGGUGCAACUCUAUGACAUAGUCAUAAAGUUCAAACCAUUCAACUGAGACGGUUUAUAAAUCCUUCUUGACUACCUUGGAGCUUGUGGUAUAGGAACUAGGUUGUUAUAUUUGUUGAUUAUCAUCUUGUCUCUUAAAGAACCCAUUCUUUGAGUUCUAUCUCUCGUUCAUUUGCUCUUAGGCAAAUCACAUUGUAGGAUUACAAUGAACUACCCAACAAAACAACAUUUGUUAGUUGGUUUAUAGAAGCGAUAUCCAAAAGUUAAUUUAAGGAUAUCCCACAAGAUUGUUUAUCAAACAAAUAUUGCUUAUUAGCACACAACCCCAAAUCUUAACAUGCUUAAGAUUUGUCUUUCUUUCCAACUACAUCUUAUGGAGUCAUGAAAAAUUUGGAAGAUCUUCUAAUUGACAAUCAUAUUGUUUUAGAAGUAUAUAUCCUAUAUAUGGGUAAUAGAUAACAUCUAAUGAACUAAAUCUUACUCGAGUUCGUUCUUCUCCUUAAUGGAGAAAUUUAUUUAUCUUAUGAUGCUUCUUUCCUUGAUAUCUUUCAAGAAAACUAUUCUAAAGUGUUACCAUUCCUUGGAUCAAAUCUAAGGAUGUAAUUACUUUAGACGUCUUACUCAUCAACUUACAUUUCUUGAAUUCUUUGAAACAUUUUGCAAAGUAUUCGGACUUGUGUUUAUUUAAAAUAAACUAUAGUCCAACCGAGGGUGAUCUUCGGUGAAUGUCAUACAACAUGAGUAGUAUUAUGUUGUGGACAAGUGCCACUAACAUCUAAGUGAAUUAACCUCAACAACUUUGUGAUUCUUUAUUCUUUCCAAAAGAAUAAAGAUUCAAAACAUUUUGCCUCUAUACAAUUUUAAUAAGAAGGUGUUGGAUCCGGAUCUAACGAUCCAAAGCAUCCAUCUAUGACCAACUCGUAAUUUAUGUUUUAGAGGUAUCACAACUCAGUUGGGAUUAGUCACUACCUUGCAACCUUUUGGGUUUUAAGCAUCAUUGUAUUCUAAACAGUUAACACUACCAUAUCAUCUCUACUAUAGAGACAAUCAAUUAGAUUACUAUAAUCCAAUCAUUGAUUAAUAAAGAACAAUAUUUUGUCAAACAAAACAUUCAUCCAUCUCUACUAUAGUGACGGAAUUAAAUUCCUUAAAAUUGGAAUGUAAAGAUAAUCUUUGGUUUUUCCAAUUUCUUUGGUAGUUCAUAUGAGGAAGUAAGUACUAUCUGCUUUCGCAGAGAUCU